rnacentral:rRNA from 1 species
ACUCCUACGGGAGGCAGCAGUGGGGAAUAUUGCACAAUGGGGGAAACCCUGAUGCAGCCAUGCCGCGUGUGUGAAGAAGGCCUUCGGGUUGUAAAGCACUUUCAGUAGGGAGGAAGGUAGUGUAGUUAACACCUGCAUUAUUUGACGUUACCUACAGAAGAAGCACCGGCUAACUCCGUGCCAGCAGCCGCGGUAAUACGGAGGGUGCGAGCGUUAAUCGGAAUUACUGGGCGUAAAGCGCAUGCAGGCGGCCUGUUAAGUCAGAUGUGAAAGCCCGGGGCUUAACCUCGGAAUUGCAUUUGAAACUGGCAGGCUAGAGUCUUGUAGAGGGGGGUAGAAUUUCAGGUGUAGCGGUGAAAUGCGUAGAGAUCUGAAGGAAUACCAGUGGCGAAGGCGGCCCCCUGGACAAAGACUGACGCUCAGAUGCGAAAGCUGGGGAGCAAACAGGAUUAGAUACCCUGGUAGCACAGAG